CAAUAAAAUCCCCGUUGAGAACCUUCAAUCAAAAUGGGACAAAAAGAAAAAAGAGAGAGGCCCUACGAGGCAAAUCAUCACAGAAUCUGGAAAUACAAGCCUGAACAGUCUAGAAGGGUCUCGCCAUUCGAAUCAAAUCAAUGGCGGAAUUUCACAACAGAAACCAAGACGCGAGAAAGCAACUAGGAACGAUCAAGGUCACCAAACCGGCCGUCAUUCCCGAACUAACAAAUGAUUCUUUGUUUGGAAGGUUGAAACAGGUCUAAUCCAAAACAACCGUGCAAGGAGCAGGUGUCGCCCAAAGAAGAAGGUACACGGGUACAGGAAGUACUUCGGCAAUAAGGAAUUCACUCAAAAGGUAAGUUCCCGCAAACUCCCUUUUAUCUUCAAGAAAACUAAAAAAAAAUAUAUAGAUCGUGUAGAAUUCUCGAGCUCUCCCAUGCCAUCAGCAUUAGGGUUUUAAACCCUAAACUGAGUUUUCCUUUCAGCCAGCAUUAGAGUUUUAAACUCUAAACUGAGCUCUCCCAUGCCAUCAGCAUUAGGGUUUUAAACCCUAAACUGAAUUUUCCUUUCAGCCAGCAUUAGAGUUUUAAACUCUAUACUGAGCUUUUCCAUGCAAUCAGCAUUAGGGUUUUAAACCCUAAACUGAAUUUUCCUUUCAGCCAGCAUUAGAGUUUUAAACUCUAUACUGAGCUUUUCCAUGCAAUCAGCAUUAGGGUUUUAAACCCUAAACUGAAUUUUCCUUUCAGCCAGCAUUAGAGUUUUAAACUCUAAACUGAGCUUUUCCAUGCAAUCAGUAUUAGGGUUUUAAACCCUAAACUGAACUCUUCCUUUCAGCCAGCAUUAGAGUUUUAAACUCUAAACUGAGCAUUUUCAUGCAUCAGCAUUAGGGUUUUAAACCCUAAACUGAAUUUUCCUUUCAGCCAGCAUUAGAGUUUUAAACUCUAAACUGAGCUUUUUUUUUCAUGCAAUCAGCAUUAGGGUUUUAAACCCUAAACUGAACCUUUUCCUUUUUAGCCAGCAUUAGAGUUUUAAACUCUAAACUGAGCUUUUUCAUGCAAUCAGCAUUAGGGUUUUAAACCCUAAACUGAAUUUUCCUUUUAGUCAGCAUUAGGGUUUUAAACCCUAAACUGAACUUUUUCCUUUCAGCCAGCAUUAGAGUUUUAAACUCUAAACUGAGCUUUUUUCAUGCCAUCAGCAUUAGGGUUUUAAACCCUAAACUGAGUUUUCCUUUCAGCCAGCAUUAGAGUUUUAAACUCUAAACUGAGCUUUUCCAUGCAAUCAGCAUUAGGGUUUUAAACCCUAAACUGAAUUUUCCUUUCAGCCAGCAUUAGAGUU
rnacentral:lncRNA from 1 species